UACGGAGGGUGCAAGCGUUGUCCGGAAUCACUGGGCGUAAAGGGCGCGUAGGCGGCUCGGUAAGUAGGGGGUGAAUCCUGCGGCUUAACCGCAGGGCUGCCUUCUAAACUGUCGAGCUUGAGCACGGUAGAGGCAGAUGGAAUUCCCGGUGUAGCGGUGGAAUGCGUAGAGAUCGGGAAGAACAUCAGUGGCGAAGGCGGUCUGCUGGGCCGUUGCUGACGCUGAGGCGCGACAGCGUGGGGAGCAAACAGG
rnacentral:rRNA from 1 species